GAUGAACGCUGGCGGCGUGCCUAAUACAUGCAAGUCGAGCGAACGGACGAGAAGCUUGCUUCUCUGAUGUUAGCGGCGGACGGGUGAGUAACACGUGGAUAACCUACCUAUAAGACUGGGAUAACUUCGGGAAACCGGAGCUAAUACCGGAUGAUAUUUUGAACCGCAUGGUUCAAAAGUGAAAGACGGUCUUGCUGUCACUUAUAGAUGGAUCCGCGCUGCAUUAGCUAGUUGGUAAGGUAACGGCUUACCAAGGCAACGAUGCAUAGCCGACCUGAGAGGGUGAUCAGCCACACUGGAACUGAGACACGGUCCAGACUCCUACGGGAGGCAGCAGUAGGGAACCUUCCGCAAUGGGCGAAAGCCUGACGGAGCAACGCCGCGUGAGUGAUGAAGGUCUUCGGAUCGUAAAACUCUGUUAUUAGGGAAGAACAUAUGUGUAAGUAACUGUGCACAUCUUGACGGUACCUAAUCAGAAAGCCACGGCUAACUACGUG
rnacentral:rRNA from 1 species